UCCUUGGUGGCCUAGUGGUUAAAGAUGCUGUGUUGUCACUGCUGUGUUUCAGGUUCGAUCCCUGGCCUGGGAA
rnacentral:tRNA from 1 species